rnacentral:rRNA from 1 species
AGGUCGGUAUACAGGUGGUGCAUGGCUGUCGUCAGCUCGUGUCGUGAGAUGUUGGGUUAAGUCCCGCAACGAGCGCAACCCUCGUUCUAUGUUGCCAGCGGUUCGGCCGGGAACUCAUAGAAGACUGCCGGGGUCAACUCGGAGGAAGGUGGGGAUGACGUCAAGUCAUCAUGCCCCUUAUGUCCAGGGCUUCACGCAUGCUACAAUGGCUGGUACAAAGGGCUGCAAUAUCGCAAGAUGGAGCGAAUCCCAUAAAGCCAGUCUCAGUUCGGAUUGGGGUCUGCAACUCGACCCCAUGAAGUCGGAGUCGCUAGUAAUCGCAGAUCAGCAACGCUGCGGUGAAUACGUUCCCGGGCCUUGUACACACCGCCCGUCAAGUCAUGAAAGUCGGUAACACCCGAAGCCGGUGGCCUAACCCUUGUGGAGGGAGCUGUCGAAGGUGGGACCGGUAAUUAGGACU